rnacentral:rRNA from 1 species
AUUGAACGCUGGCGGCAGGCCUAACACAUGCCAGUCGAGCGAGCGGCGGACGGGUGAGUAAUGUAUGGGGACUGCCCGAUAGAGGGGGAUAACUACUGGAAACGGUAGCUAAUACCGCAUACUAUCGGAUAACCCAUAUGGGAUUAGCUCGUAGGUGGGGUAAUUGCUCACCUAGUCGACGAUCCCUAGCUGGGCUGAGAGGUUGAUCAGCCACACUGGGACUGAGACACGGCCCAGACGCCUACGGAGGCAGCAGUGGGGAAUAUUGAACAAUGGGCGCAAUCCGGAGGCAGCCAUGCCGCGUGUAUGAAGAAGGCCCUCGGGUUGUAAAGUACUUUCAGUCGGGAGGCGUUACCGACAGAAGAAGCACCGGCUAACGCCGGGCCAGCAGCCGCGGUAAUAC